rnacentral:rRNA from 1 species
AUACGGAGGAUCCGAGCGUUAUCCGGAUUUAUUGGGUUUAAAGGGUGCGCAGGCGGCCAUUUAAGUCAGCGGUUAAAUCGUGGGGCUCAACCCCAUUCUGCCGUUGAUACUGGGUGGCUUGAUUGCGGUCGAGGUUGGCGGAAUUCGUUGUGUAGCGGUGAAAUGCAUAGAUAUGACGAAGAACACCGAUUGCGUAGGCAGCUGACCAGAUCGCAAAUGACGCUCAUGCACGAAAGUGCGGGGAUCGAACAGGAUUAGAUACCCUGGUAGGCCGCACAGUAAACGAUGAAUACUUGUUUUCGGCGAUAUAAUGUCGGAGGCAAAGCGAAAGCGAUAAGUAUUCCACCUGGGGAGUACGCCGGCAACGGUGAAACUCAAAGGAAUUGACGGGG